rnacentral:lncRNA from 1 species
CGCCCUUAAGCCAUGCAACAUAAGCAGAGAUGCUCAGCACGGGCUCUGGCACAGGCCUUUAGCAGUACCUUCUAACCGUAGUGCCUUUCCCUGGCAGGGGGACCCUGGGGACCCUGGUGAGGAUGGUAUGAAGGGCACCCGAGGUGAUGCUGGCUCCCCUGGCCUGCCUGGAGAGAGGGGUGUGGAGGGCCCCCGCGGCCCCCCCGGUGCACGGGGUGACCCUGGGGACCGAGGCCUGCCGGGAGAGAAGGUGAGGGGGCUGGGGGCUGGAGGCUGCCCUUUGGUACCCCUGUCGUGCCCCGUGGCUCCAAUCCUUCUGCCCUGCUCUCUUACAGGGGGACCGUGGCCCACCGGGGCUGGAUGGCCGCAAUGGGCUGGAAGGCAAACCUGGGCCCCCGGGUCCCACCGGGCUGCGGGUGAGCUUGGUGGGGGCUGCAGGACAGAGGGGCAGUGGGGAGGGAAGAGCAUCCCCCCCCAGACACCUUCUGCUCUGGGCUGGGGAUGCUCGUGGGGUCCUGUGACAGAGUGGGGAUGUCCCUGCUCUUACCUCCUCCUUGUCCACAGGGGGACCCGGGGAAGCAGGGGGACCCUGGCCGGGAU